UGAAACAAUUUAUUGAAAAGAAAAAAAGAGAAAAAAAAAAUAUAAGAUCACCAUCUCAAACUCAUUCAAAAGGGGAAAAGAGAAAUCCUUGAUGAAAAUUAUACAAAAUGAAACAAAGAAACUUGACACCUGUUAGGAAGAAAAUCAAAUCGCUUAGUCUAAAUUUUAUCAAUCCCAAAAUUUGCAAACCUAUCCAGAACUAUUUUUCUUUUUCAUGGAAAAUAUAAUUUAUUUUAAAUCACGUAGCAUUACAACUCU
rnacentral:lncRNA from 1 species